rnacentral:rRNA from 1 species
ACGCUCGACACCUACGGGAGGAGCAGUGGGGAAUAUUGCACAAUGGGGGAAACCCUGAUGCAGCGACGCCGCGUGACUGAAGAAGUAUUUCGGUAUGUAAAGGUCUAUCAGCAAGGAAGAAGAAAGACGGUACUUGACUAAGAAGCCCCGGCUAACUACGUGCCAGCAGCCGCGGUAAUCUGAGCGGGCUGGCAAGGC